CGAACGCUGGCGGCAAGCUUAACACAUGCAAGUCGAACGGACCAUACGCGCAGCUUGCUGCGUGUAUGGUUAGUGGCAGACGGGUGAGUAAUGCAUAGGAAUCUACCUAGUAGUAUAGGAUAGCCACUAGAAAUGGUGGGUAAUACUGUAUAAUCCCUGCGGGGGAAAGAUUUAUCGCUAUUAGAUGAGCCUAUGUCAGAUUAGCUAGUUGGUGGGGUAAUGGCCUACCAAGGCGGUGAUCUGUAGCUGGUCUGAGAGGAUGAUCAGCCACACUGGAACUGAGACACGGUCCAGACUCCUACGGGAGGCAGCAGUGGGGAAUAUUGGACAAUGGGCGCAAGCCUGAUCCAGCUAUGCCGCGUGAGUGAGGAAGGCCUUAGGGUUGUAAAACUCUUUCAGUAGGGAAGAUAAUGACGGUACCUACA
rnacentral:rRNA from 1 species